rnacentral:SRP_RNA from 1 species
AUCGGGAGAUUAUGCAGACGAGUAUAUCUCGAACUCGGUCAGGGCAGAAAUGCAGCAGCCGUAGAGGCAAUACUUGGGUUGUUUUAAUCUCCCACUAAA